GUCCUAAUAGCUCAGUUGGGAGAGUGUCAGACUGAAGAUUUGAAGGUCCAGUGUUCAAGCCACUGUUGGGACA
rnacentral:tRNA from 1 species